UACGUAGGGGGCAAGCGUUAUCCGGAUUUACUGGGUGUAAAGGGAGCGUAGGCGGCUUAGUAAGUCAGAAGUGAAAGCCCGCGGCUCAACUGCGGGACUGCUUUUGGAACUAUCUAGCUAGAUUGCAGGAGAGGUAAGUGGAAUUCCUAGUGUAGCGGUGAAAUGCGUAGAUAUUAGGAGGAACACCAGUGGCGAAGGCGGCUUGCUGGACGAUGACUGACGUUGAGGCUCGAAAGCGUGGGGAGCAAACAGG
rnacentral:rRNA from 1 species